UGCCGCAAACAGAAAGGGGAAGAGGAGGAGAUCCCUAACCCUCGUCCAAUCUUCAAACCACCGUAUCUUCCUCAUUUGAGCUCCGAUAGCCGCACUGUUUGCGGCCACGCGUCCAGCGCGUCGAGCUCUACCUUUCUAUCAAAUCAAUUUUACUAGUUCAAGUUAGCUUCCGGAACUUAUGGGCUCAAGCUAUUGAGCAUAUGGGUAUGGUGUAGACUAAGUGGGUAUAUAUGCUUUGGAAUUGAAUUGGCAAUAUUUUGAGGCUUGUUGGUGAUCAAUGCUUGGUUUGUGGCUGUUUUAAUUGAGCUUGGAGGGGUUGUGUUUUGUGUUGUGAGGCUACCUUGGGUGAAACUAAGUGGUCGGCUAAGAUGCAGGUCGAGAGGCUCCUCGCUAGGCGUCUGGAUCCUGGGAAGCGAAGUAGUCCUUGGGUGUAUUUUGGGUUUCUGUUUGUAUAUAUGUAGAUAUGUAUUUAGCUUACUCUCUAAGUAACUUAUGUAUGCUGCUCCUCUUAGAGGUUGAGAAAGAGAUAGGAGUUCACUUUGG